rnacentral:rRNA from 1 species
ACUCCUACGGGAGGCAGCGGUGGGGAAUCUUGCACAAUGGAGGAAACUCUGAUGCAGCGAUGCCGCGUGAGUGAAGAAGGCCUUUGGGUUGUAAAGCUCUUUUGUAGGGGAAGAUAAUGACUGUACCCUAGGAAUAAGGUCCGGUUAACUUCGUGCCAGCAGCCGCGGUAAUAC